GAUGAAGAACGUAGCGAAAUGCGAUACGUAAUGUGAAUUGCAGAAUUCAGUGAAUCAUCGAAUCUUUGAACGCAUAUUGCGCUCUUUGGUAUUCCGAAGAGCAUGCUUGUUUGAGUAUCAGUAAACACCUCAAAGCUUUUGGAUUUUUUAAUCGAAAAGCUUUGGACUUGAGCAAUCCCAACACCAAUCUUUUUGAGAUCGGUGGCGGGUUGCUUGAAAUGCAGGUGCAGCUGGACAUUCUCCUGAGCUAAAAGCAUAUUCAUUUAGUCCCGUCAAACGGAUUAUUACUUUUGCUGCAGCUAACAUAAAGGGAGUUUGACCGUAUUGGCUGACUGAUGCAGGAUUUCACAAGGGUCGGCAACGAUUCUUGUUAAACUCGAUCUCAAAUCAAGUAAGACUACCCGCUGACCUUAAGCAUAUCAAUAAGCGGAGGA
rnacentral:misc_RNA from 1 species